UUGUGAGAGACUGAGUUUAAAUGUACUUGGCUAAGGUGUAUGUAAUCUUCCGACUUCAACUGUAUGUAUCAUUACUAGUUAUUUUUUUUAAGGCCCUCAUGAUGAAUACAUUUUAUUUUUAGAAGAUAUUUAACACGUUUUUCAAACAUAAUUUAUCUUGUAGUGUAGAAAUGUAUCUAUGACCACUUUCUUGAUGGGUGUGAUUGUCAGUUGUUCAGCAGUUAGCCAGCUCUUGGCCGGCCUAAUCAGAUCAUGCAUUUGUGAUUGGUGAGUUUGUUGUAGCAUCAUAUGCCCAAUCACGGAACCUUUACGCCCUGCUAAUCAGGGUGUAACUACACCGGCACAGGAUUUCCUUUUUCAGGCCCUCGUAAUGAGUAUCCUGGUCAGCCGUCAGAUCCUAAAAGGUCUUCUCUGCCGCUCCUGACAUUGAGGGGUGCUAGCAGGCUGGAAAAUGGUGAUCUUGGCUUCUCCCUCCAUCACACUUUUGACAGGCCUCUCCAGUCAGGUUUCAUCAAGCUGUAGGAAACCCCUUUUUCACGCCCUGUUGAUGACGUUGGUCUGUUGGAACCUCUUCAGCCUUCUGCCUUAAAUCUGCCGAACUUCCAAAGGAGAACUUUACAUCCAAGUUUAACAUUUUAUUGAUUUGGCUAUUUUUGUUCAAUAUAUAUAUAUAUAUAUAUAUAUAUAUAUAUAUAUAUAUAUAUAUACUGUAGUCAGGCAUAUUUAUGCAAAUGUGUGUAUCUUUUCUCCUGUCAAUUAUGUUUUGUUUAAUGUUUAUUUGUUUCAUUUAUUUUUUAUUUGUUGACAUGUACAUAGCAUACAGUGUAAAACUAUUCAAAUAUACAAACCCAAUCUCUUUAUAUUCUUAUCAAUGCUAAUGUAAAUGAAUGUUUUUGUGUCCUGAUAAGAUGAGUCAUUCGGACGUUUUACAGAUGUUAUGUAUCUGAUACUGAAGGCCUUUUGCUCCACUAGGGGGUGAAAGGAACAAGUACUUCAAAUAUUUGAUAUGGAAGAGCCUCUAGAGAAAGAGAAGUUAAGAAAUAUAUACUCUUAUGCAAGAACACUGUCCAUAUAUAUUUUGAACUUAAUUUCUUCUCCCGUACCAUAGAAUUUUGUAUUUCUUUGGCUGUGUUUACACAGGCAGCCCAAUUCUGAUCUUAUUUUAUUAAUUGGUCUUUUGACCAAUCAGAUCAGCUUUAAAGAAUAGCUGAUGUGAAAACAUCUGAUGUGAUGGGUCGAAAGACCAUUUAGUGGAAAAAAAUUCACAAUUGGGCUUCCUGUGGAAACGCGUACUUUGUGAUGGUAACACAUUUACAGGUAGACCAGAGAAGCCACAUCCCUGAUUGGCAGAUGAAUCGCAACGCUGAUUAGAAGCACCUGCUACUCACCGCUAACUCACCUGUCUUCCCUAUAAUAAAUACUGUUUCUUAUUGAAAAAGUUGUGAACCUACACACUGUAGAAGGCUGUUAAGCCGAAUCAUAUGUGGAUGCUAUCCUGAUGUAGUAAAAAUAAUAACAAUAAAUGAAAAAUUAACUAAG